rnacentral:rRNA from 1 species
GCUGGCGGCGUGCCUAAUACAUGCAAGUCGAGCGGACCAAUAGAAAAGCUUGCUUUUCUUGAGGUUAGCGGCGGACGGGUGAGUAACACGUGGGCAACCUACCUGUAAGACUGGGAUAACUUACGGAAACGUGAGCUAAUACCGGAUAGUUUCACUUCUCGCAUGAGAAGUGAAGGAAAGAUGGCUUUUAGCUAUCACUUACAGAUGGGCCCGCGGCGCAUUAGCUAGUUGGUGGGGUAAAGGCCUACCAAGGCGACGAUGCGUAGCCGACCUGAGAGGGUGAUCGGCCACACUGGGACUGAGACACGGCCCAGACUCCUACGGGAGGCAGCAGUAGGGAAUCUUCCGCAAUGGACGAAAGUCUGACGGAGCAACGCCGCGUGAGCGAAGAAGGUCUUCGGAUCGUAAAGCUCUGUUGUUAGGGAAGAACAAGUACCGGAGUAACUGUCGGUACCUUGACGGUACCUAACCAGAAAGCCACGGCUAU